GAUGAACGCUGGCGGCGUGCCUAAUACAUGCAAGUCGAGCGAACGGACGAGAAGCUUGCUUCUCUGAUGUUAGCGGCGGACGGGUGAGUAACACGUGGAUAAUCUACCUAUAAGACUGGGAUAACUUCGGGAAACCGGAGCUAAUACCGGAUAAUAUUUUGAACCGCAUGGUUCAAAAGUGAAAGACGGUCUUUCUGUCACUUAUAGAUGUAUCCUCGCUGCAUUAGCUAGUUGGUAAGUUAACGGCUUACCAAGGCAACGAUGCAUAGCCGACCUGAGUGGGUGAUCGGCCACACUGGAACUGAGACACGGUCCAGACUCCUACGGGAGGCAGCAGUAGGGAAUCUUCCGCAAUGGGCGAAAGCCUGACGGAGCAACGCCGCGUGAGUGAUGAAGGUCUUCGGAUCGUAAAACUCUGUUAUUAGGGAAGAACAUAUGUGUAAGUAACUGUGCACAUCUUGACGGUACCUAAUCAGAAAGCCACGGCUAACUACGUG
rnacentral:rRNA from 1 species